UCCUUGUUACGGAAAUAAAACCCGGAAGACACCAGUUAUCAAUGCUACAGCUAAGCUACCAGUACAGAUCCGAUCAUGAAUGAGCAAAUUGCUAAGUACUUUCAGCGAGGAUUUACAAACGAUGAAAUCCUUGCGUUAUUAGCUGAAUCACAUGGCAUCAUUAUCAGCAAACGCACCCUCGAAAGGAUCUUACACAAGAACAGACUUUGGCGCAGAAAGAACAAAACUGAGGUGGAAGAGGUGGCGGCUUUUAUACAAGCGCAACUGGAAAACUCAGGUCAGUCACAUGGAUAUCGCUGGAUGCACCAGAAGUGUUGGAUGAAUGGAAUUGUGACUGACAGAGAAACAGUUCGUCUUCUGCUCCGUUUACUCGACGGUGAAGGUGUGGAUUUAAGGUCCCGUAGACGACUGCGGAGGCGAGUGUAUCAUAGCAGAGGCCCCAACUAUGUGUGGCACAUCGACGGAUACGAUAAGCUUAAGCCAUUUGGAAUUGCAAUAAGUGGAUGUAUUGACGGCUUCUCAAGGAGCGUUAUAUGGCUUGAAGCUUACAAGACAAAUAAUGACCCCAGAGUGAUUGCUGGUUACUACAUGGAUGCCGUGAUUCAACAUGGUGGAUGCCCUGAUCGAGUGAGAUUAGAUUUAGGAACAGAAAACGUCCAUGUGGCCCAGAUGCAAAGGUUUUUACAUUUUUCAGACAGUGAUUCAGAAACUGAUCAUGUCACUUUUGGAGCAAGUACAGGAAAUCAGCGUGUUGAAAGAUGGUGGCUAAUCUUACGAAGUCAGUGUGUCCAGUACUGGAUCGACCUGUUUGACAAACUAAGAGAGGAUGGACACUUCUCAGACUCGUUCUUGGACAAAUCAUUGGUCCAGUUCUGCUUUCUUCACAUUAUACAGGAGGAAUUAAACGAAGUUGCUUUGGCUUGGAACGACCACAGAAUACGCCCAGUCCACAACUCCCGCAGUCCUCAUGGUCGACCGUCUUUUAUGUAUGCCCUCCCAGACAUCUAUGGAGCGAGAGACUGUCUCCAGCAUGUCAAUAUGGAGAAAGUUGAAGCCUGCCUUGAAGAAUGUGUGUUCAAAGACUUUCCAUGUGAUGAGGAUGUCUUUCAUCUCUGUGUAGAACUGAUGGCUGAACAUGCUCUGGGCUUCACAAAUGAUGUGUUUGAUACAGUGGAUCUGUAUGUACAACUAAGGCAGCUCAUGCUUGCUCAGUUGGAGACAUUGCCUUAAAGGUUAUACCUAUUUAUGCAUUUGACAGAGCUGUUGAAAGCACAUGUCCUUUAACCUUUGUGCUUCCUUAGGAACAGUUAGUCCACAACUCCCGCAGUCCUCAUGGUCGACCGUCUUUUAUGUAUGCCCUCCCAGACAUCUAUGGAGCGAGAGACUGUCUCCAGCAUGUCAAUAUGGAGAAAGUUGAAGCCUGCCUUGAAGAAUGUGUGUUCAAAGACUUUCCAUGUGAUGAGGAUGUCUUUCAUCUCUGUGUAGAACUGAUGGCUGAACAUGCUCUGGGCUUCACAAAUGAUGUGUUUGAUACAGUGGAUCUGUAUGUACAACUAAGGCAGCUCAUGCUUGCUCAGUUGGAGACAUUGCCUUAAAGGUUAUACCUAUUUAUGCAUUUGACAGAGCUGUUGAAAGCACAUGUCCUUUAACCUUUGUGCUUCCUUAGGAACAGUUAGUCCUCUGGCUUAGAAGAAUAAAAAUUAAAAA